AUUGAACGCUGGCGGCAGGCCUAACACAUGCAAGUCGAGCGGAUGAAGGGAGCUUGCUCCUGGAUUCAGCGGCGGACGGGUGAGUAAUGCCUAGGAAUCUGCCUGGUAGUGGGGGAUAACGUCCGGAAACGGGCGCUAAUACCGCAUACGUCCUGAGGGAGAAAGUGGGGGAUCUUCGGACCUCACGCUAUCAGAUGAGCCUAGGUCGGAUUAGCUAGUUGGUGGGGUAAAGGCCUACCAAGGCGACGAUCCGUAACUGGUCUGAGAGGAUGAUCAGUCACACUGGAACUGAGACACGGUCCAGACUCCUACGGGAGGCAGCAGUGGGGAAGAUUGGACAAUGGGCGAAAGCCUGAUCCAGCCAUGCCGCGUGUGUGAAGAAGGUCUUCGGAUUGUAAAGCACUUUAAGUUGGGAGGAAGGGCAGUAAGUUAAUACCUUGCUGCUUUGACGUUACCAACAGAAUAAGCACCGGCUAACUUCGUG
rnacentral:rRNA from 1 species